rnacentral:rRNA from 1 species
UUUAAAGAGAGUUUGAUCCUGGCUCAGGACGAACGCUGGCGGCGUGCCUAAUACAUGCAAGUCGAACGAACGGAGGAAGAGCUUGCUCUUCCAAUGUUAGUGGCGGACGGGUGAGUAACACGUGGGCAACCUGCCUGUAAGUUGGGGAUAACUCCGGGAAACCGGGGCUAAUACCGAAUGAUAAAGUGUGGCGCAUGCCACGCUUUUGAAAGAUGGUUUCGGCUAUCGCUUACAGAUGGGCCCGCGGUGCAUUAGCUAGUUGGUAGGGUAAUGGCCUACCAAGGCAACGAUGCAUAGCCGACCUGAGAGGGUG